CAGCCGCCGCGGUAAUACGUAGGGUGCGAGCGUUAAUCGGAAUUACUGGGCGUAAAGCGUGCGCAGGCGGUUUUGUAAGACAGAGGUGAAAUCCCCGGGCUCAACCUGGGAACUGCCUUUGUGACUGCAAGGCUGGAGUGCGGCAGAGGGGGAUGGAAUUCCGCGUGUAGCAGUGAAAUGCGUAGAUAUGCGGAGGAACACCGAUGGCGAAGGCAAUCCCCUGGGCCUGCACUGACGCUCAUGCACGAAAGCGUGGGGAGCAAACAGGAUUAGAUACCCUGGUAGUCCACGCCCUAAACGAUGUCAACUGGUUGUUGGACGGCUUGCUGUUCAGUAACGAAGCUAACGCGUGAAGUUGACCGCCUGGGGAGUACGGCCGCAAGGUUGAAACUUAAAGGAAUUGGCGGG
rnacentral:rRNA from 1 species